rnacentral:rRNA from 1 species
GCAAGUCGAGGGGUAACAGUUCUGUUUACAGAAGCUGACGACCGGCGCACGGGUGCGUAACGCGUAUUCAAUCUUCCUUAUACAGAAGACUAGCCGCGAGAAAUUGAGAUUAAUGCUUAAUGGUAUUAUGUUGUGGAAUCACAAUAUAAUUAAAACUCCGGUGGUAUAAGAUGGGCAUGCGUAUGAUUAGCUAGAUGGUGAGGUAACGGCUCACCAUGGCGACGAUCAUUAGGGGUCCUGAGAGGGUGAUC